rfam:Trichinella papuae scaffold200s, whole genome shotgun sequence.
UCAACGUUUGAGCUGAUAGGUGUGCUUCUAGUCCAUGCGGAAUUCAAGCCAUGACUAGAUGCUCACUUAUCACCUCAAGCGGCUC